UCCGGUUGAUCCUGCCGGACCCGACUGCUAUCAGAGUGGGACUAAGCCAUGCGAGUCAACAUAGCAAUAUGUGGCAUACGGCUCAGUAACACGUAGUCAACAUGCCCAGGGGACGUGGAUAACCUCGGGAAACUGAGGAUAAACCGCGAUAAGUCACUGCUUCUGGAAUGGGUAAUGACUUAAAUCUAUAUGGCCCCUGGAUUGGACUGCGGCCGAUCAGGCUGUUGGUGAGGUAAUGGCCCACCAAACCUGUAACCGGUACGGGCUCUGAGAGGAGGAGCCCGGAGAUGGGCACUGAGACAAGGGCCCAGGCCCUAUGGGGCGCAGCAGGCGCGAAACCUCUGCAAUAGGCGAAAGCCUGACAGGGUUACUCUGAGUGAUUUCCGUUAAGGAGAUCUUUUGGCACCUCUAAAAAUGGUGCAGAAUAAGGGGUGGGCAAGUCUGGUGUCAGCCGCCGCGGUAAUACCAGCACCCCGAGUGGUCGGGACGUUCAUUGGGCCUAAAGCAUCCGUAGCCGGUUCUGCAAGUCUUCCGUUAAAUCCACCUGCUUAACAGAUGGGCUGCGGAAGAUACUAUAGAGCUAGGAGGCGGGAGCGGCAAGCGGUACUCGAUGGGUAGGGGUAAAAUCCGUUGAUCCAUUGAAGACCACCAUGGCGAAGGCGGCUUGCCAGAACGCGCUCGACGGUGAGGGAUGAAAGCUGGGGGAGCAAACCGGAUUAGAUACCCGGGUAGUCCCAGCUGUAAACGGUGCAGACUCGGUGAUGAAUUGGCUUUAUGCCAAUUCAGUGCCGCAGGGAAGCCGUUAAGUUUGCCGCCUGGGGAGUACGGUCGCAAGACUGAAACUUAAAGGAAUUGGCGGGGGAGCACCACAAGGGGUGAAGCCUGCGGUUCAAUUGGGGCAACGCCGGAAAUCUUACCGGGGGCGACAGCAGAAUGAAGGUCAAGCUGAAGACUUUACCAGACAAGCUGAGAGGAGGUGCAUGGCCGUCGCCAGCUCGUGCCGUGAGGUGUCCUGUUAAGUCAGGUAACGAGCGAGACCCCUGCCUCUAGUUGCUACCAUUAUUCUCAGGAGUAGUGGAGCUAAUUAGAGGGACUGCCGUCGCUGAGACGGAGGAAGGAGGGGGCUACGGCAGGUCAGUAUGCCCCGAAACCCUCGGGCCACACGCGGGCUGCAAUGGUAAGGACAAUGAGUAUCGAUUCCGAAAGGAGGAGGCAAUCUCUAAACCUUACCACAGUUAUGAUUGAGGGCUGAAACUCGCCCUCAUGAAUAUGGAAUCCCUAGUAACCGCGUGUCACUAUCGCGCGGUGAAUACGUCCCUGCUCCUUGCACACACCGCCCGUCGCUUCAUCGAAGUUGGUUCUUGGCGAGGUGAUGCCUAAUUGGUACUAUCGAACCUGGGGUCAGCAACGAGGGAG
rnacentral:rRNA from 1 species